rnacentral:rRNA from 1 species
UACAGAGGGGGCGAGCGUUGUUCGGAAUUACUGGGCGUAAAGGGCGCGUAGGCGGCCCGCUAAGUCGAACGUGAAAUCCCCAGGCUCAACCUGGGAACUGCGUCCGAUACUGGCAGGCUUGAAUCCGGGAGAGGGAUGUGGAAUUCCAGGUGUAGCGGUGAAAUGCGUAGAGAUGCGGAGGAACACCGAUGGCGAAGGCAGCCCCCUGGGCUAGCACUGACGCUCAGGCACGAAAGCGUGGGGAGCAAACAGG